rnacentral:misc_RNA from 1 species
CGCACAUUGCGCCCCUUGGUAUUCCAUGGGGCAUGCCUGUUCGAGCGUCAUUUGUACCUUCAAGCUAUGCUUGGUGUUGGGUGUUUGUCCACUCCACUGCGUUUGGACUCGCCUUAAAGCCAUUGGCAGCCUAUAUCUGGUUUUGAGCGCAGCACAUUUUGCGUCUUACUGCCAGUUUUGUAGGCACCCAUUAAGCCUUUUUUAUCACGUUUGACCUCGGAUCAGGUAGGGAUACCCGCUGAACUUAA